rnacentral:misc_RNA from 1 species
GGCUGCCCACUAUUAUAAUGUAGACAUGAGAUGAGAAUGGUUCUUUCUGUUUGUUUUAAAAUUUAUUAUUAUGUUAGUUAUUUCAUGUUAAUCUCAUUUUUUCCGUGUCUGAAAUUGUAAUUUUCUUUUGUUUUGAAAACAAAGAAGAUUUUGUCAUUUCAUGCAAUAUGUACUGAAGAGUGCUUGAGCUGUGUUUGUGGCGUAAUGCAUCUAACUGGCAUGACUGUUCAUUAGGUUUGAAAUUUAUAGUGGCAAUUAAAUAUCACAGUAAUUGAAAUAUAAAUGGCAGCAGUUAUAGCUUGUGGUUCCUUUCAUGGGUGAAAAACAUCCAGAAUAUUUUAAAUAGCUGCAGUCCUCUUCAAUGAGCAUUUAUAGUGCCUAGUGAUUGAAGAUUUUAUUUUGAUGAAUAUUUGCUAAAUGAAGACUGCUUCCUCUUGUUUCAACAUAGUUCAUUUUUUUCACGCUUCAACAUAGUUCAUGUUGCCUGACAUUUGAGAUCAUACAAGCGAUACUAAUCAUCCAAUGUAAAAAUAGGAAAUCAUAAUGUGUCAAGAAGCUAUUUUGCAUGAAAUUUAAUCUUUCUACAUAAAUCCAGUUGAUUAGGAUAAAGUUCCAUGCUCUAGAAACCAUACAUACACCUUUCGAUGCAUAUGUAU